rnacentral:tRNA from 1 species
AGUAAAAUGACUGAAUUUAUAGGUGAUAAAUUGUAAAUUUAUUUAUGAGAAAAAUAAUCUCUUUUACU